rnacentral:misc_RNA from 1 species
GCUUGUUGCGUUACGACAAAACAGGAGCUUUCCAUGACAUCUUCGCCUCUAACCAGACGGCGCUUGCACGCGAUCGGACUGGUGCUCAUCCUCGCACCGGCGAUUGGGAUCGUCGUUCCGGCCGCAGCGCAGGAAAGAGCCAUCGCGCCGGAAAUCAAUCCGCCAGGGGACAUUCCUGACAAUCAGCAGUUCGUUACUUUCGAGGCGACGCAAGGUGCGGCUUUGAAGGUUCCGGAAGGGUGGGCUCGGACGGAUACGAAGGAAGGUGCGAUCUUUGCGGACAAAUAUGGCCGCAUCGAACUCACCAUCCGACCAUCGA